GGUGAUCCGCUGGGACAAGGAGAAGAACUUACCUCCCUUCCUCCCUAUCUCCCUCCCUCCCUACCUUACCUCCCUCCUCCUUCCUGAGUGCUUCUAUCAUCCUCCCCUCUCCCUCCUCCUCCUCUUCUCCUUCCUUCUUCCUCCUCCUCCUCCUCCUCCUUCGUCUCCCGGCACCUACUCGCUUGGUUACCUGCCCGGCUGUACUUAAGUGACGUCACGGUGCAAAGUACAGAUCAAGGAGCGCCAUGUCACCAGGCCGGGCAGCACCAUAACAAGCACCAUCAUGUCACCAUACAUGUCCUAAUGCAAGCCAUGGCACCAUACCCAAGCUCUAUAGUGAGUCUUGGCACCAUGCGAAGGACAAUGGCACCAUAUAUGUCCUACUGUGCUGACUAAUGGCACCAUACCUAGCCAUGGCACCAUACCUGAACGUCUACAGUGAGUCAUGGUGCCAUAUUAGUCCCUCUAUGUAUGUCCAUGGCACCAUACAUCUCAAGGGUGCCAUAAAGUCCUUCUAGAGUGAACAAUGGCACCAUUCUUGUAAUGCCAUGGCACCAUAUUGGACUACAGCAUCAUAAAGGGACCAUUGCACCAUACCAGUCCUAACAUGGCACCAUACCAGUCCUAACAUGGCACCAUACCAGUCUCAUCAUGUCACCAUAUCAGGACCACAAUACCAUAGAGGGAUCAUGGCACCAUACCAGCCCUGCCAAUCCCACCAUGGCACCAUACCAGCCCCACCAUGGCACCAUAUCGGGACCACAAUACCAUAGAGGGAUCAUGGCACCAUACCAGCCCUGCCAAUCCCACCAUGGCACCAUACCAGUCCCACCAUGGCACCAUAUCGGGACCACAAUACCAUAGAGGGAUCAUGGCACCAUACCAGCCCUGCCAAUCCUACCGUGGCACCAUACCAGUCCCACCAUGGCACCAUAUCGGGACCACAACACCAUAGAAGGAUCAUGGCACCAUACCAGCCCUGCCAAUCCCACCAUGGCACCAUACCAGUCCCACCAUGGCACCAUAUCGGGACCACAACACCAUAGAAGGAUCAUGGCACCAUACCAGCCCUGCCAAUCCUACCGUGGCACCAUAACAGUCCCACCAUGGCACCGUACCAGUCCAUCAUGGCACCAUACCAGCCCUGCCAAUCCUACCGUGGAACCAUACCAGUCCCACCAUGGCACCAUAUCGGGACCACAACACCAUGAAGGGAUCAUGGCACCAUACCAGCCCUGCCAAUCCUACCGUGGCACCAUACCAGUCCCACCAUGGCACCAUAUCGGGAUCACAACACCACAGAGGGAUCAUGGCACCAUACCAGCCCUGCCAAUCCUACCGUGGCACCAUACCAGUCCCACCAUGGCACCAUAUCGGGACCACAACACCAUGAAGGGAUCAUGGCACAGUACCAGCCCUGCCAAUCCCACCAUGGCACCAUACCAGUCCCACCAUGGCACCAUACCAGCCCUGCCAAUCCUACCGUGGCACCAUACCAGUCCCACCAUGGCACCAUACCAGUCCAUCAUGGUACCAUACCAGGACCACUGCACCAUACAAGGACCAUGGCACCAUUCCAGUCCCAUCAUGGCACCAUACUAGGACCACAGCACCAUAUCAAGACCACCAUGGCGCCAUACGAAGACCACUGCACCAUAUAAGGGCCAUGGCACCAUACCCUUUCCUCUACAAUGGUUUGCUGCAGCACCAUCACCAUACCAGCACCAUGACACCAUACCAAGACCACCAUGGCACCAUACCUGGACCCCUGCACCAUGGAGGGACCCGUAGCAGCACCAUACCAGCACCAUGGCACCAUACUCCCCCUGCAGUGAGUCAUGGCACCAUACACGCUUGUUUCAUGGCACUGACAACCCACCAUACCUACCAUGCCCACCAUAACACCAUCCCCAGUCACCAUAAACACCAUAACUAGGGGAAAAUAAUAUCUGAAAAAUCUAUAAAUAAUUCCCUCAAUUUUUUAGUUAUAAGUGAUGAUUUUUAUUUUUAUUUUUAUUAUUAUUUUAUUAGAUUUAUUUUCUUUGCUACAUAUCUUUCCAUACGUACAUGUGUGUGUAUAUGUAUGUAUGUAUGGAUUUAUGCAUGUACGUUUUCCCCGAAGUCAUGUAUACAUAUAUAUUCGUGUAUAUGUGUAUUAUGCUAUGUGAAGGGUUGACGUACAGGUGUGUGUGUGUGUGUGUGUGUGUGUGUGUGUGUGUGUGUGUGUGUGUGUGUGUGUGUGUGUUUUCUGAAAACACACACACACACACACACACACACACACACACAUACACAGUUAAAGAAAGAAAGAAAGAAAGAAAAAGAAGAAAAAACAAAGAAACAGAGAAAAAACACACACACUCACUAUUUACUCACCAUACUCAAUACUCAAUACUCACCAUUCAAACAUUCUUACUCACUCUUACUCAUCCCAAAGACUUCCCUUCCUUUUCUAUCACGAAAACAAAAACAAAAAUCGCUAACGCUAUAUCUACUCACGACUUACUCAACACAUUGCAAGACACACGCCUCUCAAUACUCACCAUUCAAACAUUUUCAUCACUCACUCUUACUCAUCUCAAACCUUUCCAAUCCUUCGCUAUCACAAAAAGUCCACUAAAAAAAAAUGCUCAGUUAGUUUUAGUUUCCCUUAGAUCAAUAACUCAUUUUGACGUUUUCUUUCAUUGACGUUAAAAAGUAUAUAUAUUCAUUCAUUCAUACAAAAAGAAAAUGGAUUCAUGUAUAUUUCCACUUGUAAAUAUUCAUAAACAGACAAAAAUAAUUAGACUUCACAAUUAUACAACUAACAAAACAUUCAUUACAUUAUUCAUCUUCAUUCAUCAUUCAUUAGUAUUUUCUUUCACAAUACCGUAAGUCUCUUUGUUAAGCUAUUCAUCUCUCUCUCUCUCUCUCUCUCUCUCUCUCUCUCUCUCUCUCUCUCUCUCUCUCUCUCUCUGCACUGGAC